rnacentral:rRNA from 1 species
UACGGAGGAUGCAAGCGUUAUCCGGAUUUAUUGGGUUUAAAGGGUGCGCAGGUGGUUAAAUAAGUCAGUGGUGAAAGUCUGCCGCUUAACGGUAGGAUUGCUAUUGAUACUGUUUAACUUGAGUUUGGAUGAGGUAGGCGGAAUGAGUAGUGUAGCGGUGAAAUGCAUAGAUAUUACUCAGAACACCGAUUGCGAAGGCAGCUUACUAAUCCACAACUGACACUGAGGCACGAAAGCGUGGGGAUCAAACAGGAUUAGAUACCCGGGUA